CCUACGGGGGGCUGCAGUGGGGAAUAUUGGACAAUGGGGGGAACCCUGAUCCAGCCAUGCCGCGUGUGUGAAGAAGGCCCUCGGGUUGUAAAGCACUUUCAGUGAGGAAGAACGCCUGGUGGUUAAUACCCAUCAGGAAAGACAUCACUCACAGAAGAAGCACCGGCUAACUCCGUGCCAGCAGCCGCGGUAAUACGGUGGGUGCGAGCGUUAAUCGGAAUUACUGGGCGUAAAGCGCGCGUAGGUGGCUUGAUAAGCCGGUUGUGAAAGCCCCGGGCUCAACCUGGGAACGGCAUCCGGAACUGUCAAGCUAGAGUGCAGGAGAGGAAGGUAGAAUUCCCGGUGUAGCGGUGAAAUGCGUAGAGAUCGGGAGGAAUACCAGUGGCGAAGGCGGCCUUCUGGACUGACACUGACACUGAGGUGCGAAAGCGUGGGUAGCAAACAGGAUUAGAUACCCGUGUAGUC
rnacentral:rRNA from 1 species